GACGAACGCUGGCGGCGUGCUUAACACAUGCAAGUCGAACGGAAAGGCCCUGCUUUUGUGGGGUGCUCGAGUGGCGAACGGGUGAGUAACACGUGAGUAACCUGCCCUUGACUUUGGGAUAACUUCAGGAAACUGGGGCUAAUACCGGAUAGGAGCUCCUGCUGCAUGGUGGGGGUUGGAAAGUUUCGGCGGUUGGGGGUGGACUCGCGGCUUAUCAGCUUGUUGGUGGGGUAGUGGCUUACCAAGGCUUUGACGGGUAGCCGGCCUGAGAGGGUGACCGGCCACAUUGGGACUGAGAUACGGCCCAGACUCCUACGGGAGGCAGCAGUGGGGAAUAUUGCACAAUGGGCGGAAGCCUGAUGCAGCAACGCCGCGUGCGGGAUGACGGCCUUCGGGUUGUAAACCGCUUUCGCCUGUGACGAAGCGUGAGUGACGGUAAUGGGUAAAGAAGCACCGGCUAUCUACGUG
rnacentral:rRNA from 1 species